rnacentral:lncRNA from 1 species
UCAUUUUAUACGUAUAUAUGACAGUCACAGACACUAUAACUAGAACGUUGUAGCCUGGUGUGAGUGACAGAUUACCAAAAUUAUAAGUUAAAAAUAAAGCUUGGACCAGUCAGCUUUAGAAUAAAUAUAGUCAGAUGACCUACUUCAUAUUUUUCUAUGAGAAAUGUGGAUGUCAGUAAUGGAUCGUCAUGGAUUUUCCACUCACAUAUGGGUGCUGCUGAUGGACUUAUCACAGUAAUGUCUAAUGCCGAAGGAUGGUGGGAAGCAUUACUUGGUGGUUGGAGAACCUGAAUUCAUACUCAAAUUCAAAUAAAUUAUAAAUUUCAGUGCCUCUACUGUCAGUACUGUUACAGUCAAAUGCUACAUAACAAGCAUUUAAAUCACUUGUUAACAUUAUUGAAGUAGGUUGAUCCACUUUUUGUAGGAGGGCAAUAUGUGCAUAAUAUAAAUCAAUUGCCUAAUUGUGUUUUAAGUACAAUAGCUAGAGAUUACAUAAAAUCAUAGGUGGGUGUAGAAAUAGUAGAACAAUUAAAAUCGUUCUUAAUUAAUAUACCUACACCUUACAGACCAUCUACUGUACCAGUUUAACCUAUAAAAUUAUAACCAGGCACGUUAAACUUGGAACUCUCUCUCUCUCAACAUUGUUUCAUUCGCAAGCAAACAUCAAUAACAUUUUAAUGGAUGAAUAUAAUUAGUAAAGAUUUAUUAUAUUUUGUGUACAAUAAAGAAUAAAUAAAGAAAUAA